UUUCGCACCUCGCCACUAAGAUUCAACCUCUUCCCUAAGCAAAAAGGUUGCGUAUUCCACCUUCUUAGCAUCCUCACAAUGGAGUAUUUUGAAGAUCUUCUCCAUCUCCUGUAUCCAUAUAUCAGCCUUAUCUUGGUCAUGUUCCCCAUUGAAUUUUGAUGGAUGUUGUCGAUUAAAAUCAGUCAGUCCUCUCGCAGCAGCAACAACCUCCUCUCUCUGAUC
rnacentral:lncRNA from 1 species